UACGUAGGGAGCAAGCGUUGUUCGGAUUUACUGGGCGUAAAGGGUGCGUAGGCGGCAUGGUAAGUCAUCUGUGAAAUCUCCGAGCUUAACUCGGAACGGUCAGAUGAUACUGCUGUGCUAGAGUGCAGAAAGGGCAAUCGGAAUUCUUGGUGUAGCGGUGAAAUGCGUAGAUAUCAAGAGGAACACCUGAGGCGAAGGCGGGUUGCUAGGCUGACACUGACGCUGAGGCACGAAAGCUAGGGGAGCAAACAGG
rnacentral:rRNA from 1 species